AUGAACGCUGGCGGCGUGCCUAAUACAUGCAGGUCGAGCGAACAGACGAGGAGCUUGCUCCUCUGACGUUAGCGGCGGGCGGGUGAGUAACACGUGGAUAACCUACCUAUAAGACUGGGAUAACUUCGGGAAACCGGAGCUAAUACCGGAUAAUAUAUUGAACCGCAUGGUUCAAUAGUGAAAGACGGUUUUGCUGUCACUUAUAGAUGGAUCCGCGCCGCAUUAGCUAGUUGGUAAGGUAACGGCUUACCAAGGCAACGAUGCGUAGCCGACCUGAGAGGGUGAUCGGCCACACUGGAACUGAGACACGGUCCAGACUCCUACGGGAGGCAGCAGUAGGGAAUCUUCCGCAAUGGGCGAAAGCCUGACGGAGCAACGCCGCGUGAGUGAUGAAGGUCUUCGGAUCGUAAAACUCUGUUAUUAGGGAAGAACAAAUGUGUAAGUAACUAUGCACGUCUUGACGGUACCUAAUCAGAAAGCCACGGCUAACUACGUG
rnacentral:rRNA from 1 species